rnacentral:lncRNA from 1 species
UGCAUCAUCUUCAUCAUCUGCUCCGAUCCAUUAAAAAAAUCCACUGCAUCAUCUUCAUCACCAUCAUCAUCUUCAUCACAAACCCACACCCAAGCUCAGCAAAGUUAAACGCCAGCUGUCGGUGGCCUGUGGCACCUCACUCACAUACCCUCCUUCUCUGUUAUACUCUCUCUCUCAUCCCAUCGUCACUUGUCUCCUAAGCAAUCCAUCAAAUGCGUUGAGACCAACAGCAGAUCUCUUCCCCUGUAUCUUCCCACACUUGUAGCUAUUGUGAUUUGAACUUUUGAUUGGGAUUUGGAGUUAGGGAGGUAGAUCUGCUUUGCAGUAAGAGUCGCAUUGUUACGGCGAAGAUGGCGGCGACUGUUGGUUGGGUGUAUUCUUCCGGCAGUAGUCAUGCCAAUAAUGAUUUGUGGGUUUUUUAAUGGAUCGGAGCAGAUGAUGAAGAUGAUGUAGAUGAUAAUGGUGAUGAAGAUGAUGAUGAUGAUGGUGAU